UUUUUUUUCAGUGAUCGAUGUAACCAGCAGGAUGGACGUCAAAAUCAACCAAGUGUGUUUCCGUCAGUCAGGCCAUUCCCACGUGUCCCGAGGCGCCGUGUUCAUCGUCUUCGCCGGAGCUGAUGUCUCUUGGAGGUGAAUGUGUUUCGGUGUUCCCGCCGCGUGCUGGUGUGGGCGGCGGGCGUCAACGAAGGGCCAAGAUGAGUCAGGCGAGCAAAUGAAGAACCAACGGCAGAAACCUGUGCAGUGGGCCUUCACGCCUGGCAAAUCGACAUGGGACAGUACCCCAGCACUUCGCGCACCGGUGGAGCAGCGACGCGAGUUUCGACAUAGAAUGACUGCAGCCUAGGUCGGUCUCAAGAAGGCGUUUAGUUAUGUGUAUUGGAAGGCACUCAA